GCUGAGAGGACGUACGAAAAUCGGGCUUCGCGAAUUUCAAGUGCCGGUUCCUCUAACUCUUGGGUACUGCGUACCAGGUUCUCUACCUGGUGAAUUUCGACUUCCAGGACUCGCGCUCCGUAGUUCCUGGGCUCCAGGUCGUCCACCCGGCGUUACCUGCAAAACUAUCCUGAUCAUCACCGUCACCAUCACCGUGCGAACUUCCGUGACCACCAAAGUGACUACUUAAGUGACUACUGAGAUGACCACCAAGUGAGCCAUGAUGACCACCCCACAACCCGUGACCACUAAAUAAGCCGUGAUUCCCAACCAGGAGGUCGGUAAAGGCAUUCAGACCAAGUGGAUCUUUAUGUUGUAACCUCUGUUCUUGACGGUGAGCAUGGAUCCGAUCCCGUUUCUCCUUGCGACGUUUUUGAAUAUCGGCAGAGGCAUCCGCUGGUCGUCGCUGGGACAGUGUGUUCCGGUUCUUUAUGAGGUUACUUAUCGCCUCCAAUGUUGCAACUGGUAUCUAGGUGCGGAAAAUAGGCUGUAUCUGAACGAUUGUGACUUGGGGUACGGAAAAAAGUCUGGUGAAGAAAAUGGAGCAUUCCAGGUGUAUGCAUGCAGAAGACGUUGUUCUUCCGCAAGUUUUACGAGUACUACAUCCAGAGAAUCCGCUGACUGAGACGCGGCGUGUGCAAAUAAAACUGUUUUGUCAGCGCAGAAAGGCGUAGGCAACAUUUGCCGAGUUCAACUCUCUAUUACGAAACCGAACACUGGACGACUCAGGGACCUGUUCUGCUAAUAUUUUUGCAGAGAUGAUGUCGCUCACGCCUGGCGUUGCACCGCUUGCCAGUAUUUUAUGGGUGAAACAAUGCGUGGUUGGAGAAUUACGAAUCUCUGUACGAUAGGCAUGCCUAUCAGUGAAGAUCUCAGGGAUGUUUUUGCCCGAAACGAGUCGGCCGGAAAAAACGCUGGCUGAUUUCUUGCACAAUUUAAAACAGGUAUGCUUGUAAUGUUGCUAAACGAAAUAAAUUCGCCGAAUAAAUUGAGACGUUUCCUUUUUUCGACACUGCAGGAUUACGUUUAGUCGAACUUUUCGGAACUCUAAAACUCGUCAUUUAUUCGGUGGAUAAAGAUUAGUUAGAAUUUACGAAAUCAUGAGAGCUACGAGUUGAUUACCGUUGCCAAAUGAUAUGUCGAUACAAUAAUAACAAUGAGAUGUUUGCUCGUUGAAGAAUGAAAAUUAAUUCCGAAUUACACUUUUCUGAUUAUGAAAAUGAAGAACUGAUUCUUUAUUCAAUGUUUCGAUUUAUGCAACAAAUUCCGAUAUUAAUUUUUCGAAUUCACGAAUAAAGAAUAAAUCUGAAAAAUAAACGUGAUUCCUUCUUCGAUUUCUCGGAGUACGAAACAAAUCACCUACCAAAUUUUUUGAAUCCAGAAAUAAACAAUUCAGAAAUGAUACUUCACUACCGUAUCUAGGUAGGUACUGGCUUUUUUCCCUAUCAAUGCUAAUCCACCCAGAAAAAUAGUCCCAUCACGGCAGCAAAAUCGUUUUCUUGGCAAUUUUUGGUCUUCGUAACGAAAAAUAUUCUCAGCAUAACUCUUCAUUUUGUUGACCCAAUGAAAUGACACAGAUUUGUUUCGUUGUUUAUAUUUAGUUUUUUCAACAAAAUGAAUUUGUCGCGAAGCGUGACUUGAAUUAUUGUUGUACGAUCAACCAAAUGUUUUGGUGGUCGAGUACUAUAACCUGCACGCAAACAUCGCGCAUUCGUGAAAAUUCAAAUUCAACGUCGGUGCCAAAUUUUCGUGUAUCGGCAACCAAACGUUUUGGUUGUCAGUACCGUAACUUGCGCGUGAACUUUGCGCAGUGAUGCGAAUUCGCAAAACGUCGCUGAGCAUGCCGCAUAUCUAGUUUAGUCGUCGCCUGAAACGGGUUCAACGUCAAAAGUUGUCUAAGACGCAAAGCAAGAACGAGAACUGGAAAAAUACCGAUUAUAACUUUAGUU